AGGCCUAUCCCUCCUCGAUCCCCAUGGCGAAGCCUAUCCUGCUAUCUAUUUCUCUUUGCCUUUUUGUUCUCUUCCAAGGCUCCUUAGCUCUCGUUUCAUCAUCUCAGCAGCAAAACGAGUGUCGAAUCGACAGGAUCAAUGCCCGCGAACCUGAUAGCCGCAUUCAGAGCGAAGCUGGUACAAUUGAGUCAUGGGAUCCUAACCACGAUCAGUUCCGAUGCGCUGGUGUGGCUGUAACCAGGCACACUAUUCAACCCGAUGGCCUUUUAUUGCCAGCUUACAGCAAUGCUCCUCAACUCGUCUAUAUUGUCCAAGGUGUGUAGAAAUAAGAAACCUCUCCUUCCCAAGCAGCAAAAUCAAGAUGAUGUUUAUGUAUGUUGUGUAAAUACAGGUCAAGGUAUGCUUGGAGCCAUGUUUCCUGGAUGCGCUGAAACAUUCCAAGAAUCUCAAGAAUCCAGUAGGAGCAGUAGACAACAAGAGCAGCACCAAAAGAUUCGCCAUUUCCGACGUGGAGAUGUCAUUGCUUUGCCAGCAGGAAUAGCCCACUGGUGCUACAACGAUGGCAAUGAACCCCUUAUUGCUGUCAGUGUUUUGGACACUGGCAACAACGCUAACCAGCUUGACAGGAACCCCAGAGUAAUAAAGAGACAAAAACNNNUGACUAAUAUCGACUUGAAUUUCUUUGCUUCUCUUGAACUUGUUUCGCAGAAUUUCUACCUAGCCGGUAAUCCAGAAGAUGAGUUCCAGCAACAAUCCAGACGCCCAGGUGAGCGUGGACACGGAGAGUAUUCCCUUGGAGGCAGCAGCGAGAGACGACAGCGAUCUUGCAACAAUGUGUUCUGCGGAAUGGACUCAAGGUUUAUCGCUGAAGCUUUCAACAUUGAUGAGCAAUUGGCUAGAAGGAUUCAAGGUCAGGAUGACGCCAGAGGCAACAUAGUGAGGGUCGAAGGUCGUAUUCAGGUAACGAGGCCACCCAGGACUCAACAAGAGAGAGAGGAGCAACUAGAACGCGAGUAUGAACAAGGCCGUCGACAUUACAAUGGCAUUGAGGAGACUUUUUGCACCAUGAGGAUGAGGGAAAACAUUGCUGAUCCCUCACGCGCUGAUAUCUUCGUCCCUGAAGUUGGUCGUAUGAGCACCGUCAACAGCCACAGUCUCCCUAUCCUUCGGUGGCUCAAACUCAGUGCUUCACAUGCUGUUCUCCGCAAUGUAAGUCAAAUAGCCCAUUCCAUAGCCAAUGGCACAUCAUCAUUUGCGCUGCUUCCAUAAUUCAUAACUAAAGAUGAAUAAUGUUAUUCGCAGAAUGCUGUGAGACUGCCUCACUGGCACAUGAAUUCCCAUAGCAUAUUAUAUGCCAUAAGGGGUCAAGCACGGAUUCAGGUGGUAAAUGAAAAUGGCAACAGUGUCUUCGACGGUAGUGUAAGGCAAGGACAAGUCCUGACACUGCCACAGAACUUUGUGGUGGUGAAUAGGGCAGAGAGUGACAAUUUCGAAUACGUUUCCUUCAAUACCAAUGACAAUGCCGUGGCCUUUGAUGUUGCUGGCCGCACCUCAGCCCUUCGGGGCAUGCCAGUGGAAGUAAUUGCAAACGCAUUCAGAGUUUCGAUAGAGGAAGCCAGGAGGAUCAAGUUCGGGAGGGAGGAGACCACCCUUGGUAGCUCACUGUCUCAGCCAAGGAGGGCAGCUGCUUAAGCAGUAAAAUUACAGUAUGAACAAUGUAAACUAAAGGAACACACACCCUUUUUCGUGUUAAUGUAAGUAUGAUGUUUAGAAAUAAAAGAGACUUCCAUGGUCUCUGUACGCUGUAAGCACGUAAGUAGAGAGGACUUCUACUUGGCAAUAAAAAUGCUUCUUAUUUUAUGAAGUAAUUGGUUCCUCGUCCUUUGGCAGAGAAUAAAUUUGGUGAUAAAUUGACCUGAAACGCCAAAUGUAAUAUCAAAAAACAAGACUAUACAUAUCCUAUUGUCAUAGGAUCAUCAUUAUUCUGAAGGCCCUUAAUUUGCUUCUAAAUUAAUCCAUUUGCAUGUAUAACUAGAGCACUAAACAAGAGCAAGUACUACCACAUUGAAAUACACAGAACAGAAGACGUGUUAUAAAAUAAAUACCAACAUUCAUAUCCGACUGGAAAUUGGAAUUAGAGCACUAUUGCAUUUCUUUUAUCAAUCAAUUAAGCAAUGGAUAUGUUCAAAUAAAUUAGGAAUCAACUUUUAUGCAAAUAGUUCACCAAACAUGAUGUAAGUUUCUAAUAUGAUACUCCUGCAAAAUUUGUUUACAUCAAUACCCCUAUUACAAAAAACAACAGCAUCUCAUUUUAUUCAAACACAAUAGUAGCAAGCUUGAUUUUUCUUUCUUCGGGGCUGCUGUAAGCUUUUCCUUUACAUUCCUGCUAAACCAGCUUAUCUCCUUUGCUCCAAACUAAUCUGAUUCUGUUGAUACGAACAAAAGUAAACCUUGCCCCAAACUGAAGCAGAAAUAAUAGCACAUUUAGAAAAUAAGUGCUCCCAGCAAUUUACCUUGUCAAAAUUAGGUCUUCCGGGCACUAAUAAUAAAAAAAAUAUCACUGAAUUUUAAGUAUCAGGUAUAUGAUCUUUACUUAAGAAUUUUAAAGUAACUGCAUAUUUAAAGUUCGAACUUAAUACCUUAGUUAAACUAAAAAAAACCUUUACCAUCUAAUCUACACAUUCUUUUUGGAUUUUAGCGACUAAUUAUUGUAUUUCAACUAUCGCAAAUAUUUUUAAAAAAAUUAAUAAAUUUAAUAAGCAUCUAUUGCUAAGGGUGUCAUCGAGAUAAAACACAAAAUGAAUGAAUUAUGCCAACUACGAUAAUCGAUAUGUUUUAUUAAAGCUAAAGGGUUAAUUUGGCCCCUAAACUAUUUUUCAAAAUCUAAUUCUUUCCAAAUCAGUUUCUUGGCUAAUUACAUCAAAAUUCGCUGUAAAAAAUGUGUGAGCCUCAAAAUCAUUUUACCAAAAAUUUCAACAUAUCUUUUCUUCCUCCUGUUGUUGUGAUAAUAAGCCUUAGUCUCAAACGAUCAAUCACGACUUGAUUUUCUAAAAGUAGUAGCAUCAGACUCGUUCCGACAACGACAACAGUUUUGGAGAUCAGGGGUUUCAAGAGACAAUUGAUUUUCUUAAAAUAUUUUCAAACUAGUUUAGGGGGUGUUUGGAACUAAUCAGCCAUUAACCAGAGACUUUUAUAUAGUUUGGCCAAAAAUUAAAUCAAGCUGAAUUAACUUUGGAAAAUAAUUCAGAGGCCAAACACUUUUAAAACUGUCGACAAUUACUUCUUAUAUAUCAAUUUCCCAACUUCUCUUGGAGCCGACCCAAAUGGUGGAUAAACUUUGUAUUAAAUUUGUUUUUAUUAUAAGAUUUUACUUUGUUGUAUUUUAAUCAUUUAAUUUAAACUAUAUUUAAGUCACUUUCAUGAACAAAAGAUUGAUACUUCACAAAUACAAUGAAUAGAGAAAAGAACAAAUAAAAGAAACUCUCUAACUUAGAAAGGUGAUUAAAAUCAAAAUUAGGAAACUGAAACAAAUUUGGCAUCAUUAUUCCAACCACUUGUCAAAGAAUAUAAAAUCUAUUGUAUACUUAAUUUUUGUUUUCUUGGUAGAAACAUAUAGGGCAGAACCAAAACAGAAAGAUUAUACUUUAAUAAAAUUUAUGCCCACGUCAUAUCCAAAUUACAAAUCAGAGGUACCACUUGGAGGUUCAAGAUACACUUCAGUCAAUCGCAUUUACAAAAACGGUUCACCUACCUAAUUAACAAGAAAAUUAUUAUUUAUAAAAGUUAGUCGUUUACCGUGACUGUCGUAAUUAUUUUCAAUAUUAAUAAUAAUAGAAAUUGUGUCUAUAUAUAAAAUUAAAUAAUUUUUUUAAUAUUUUAUAAUUAUUUAAAAUAUUUAAAAAUAAAUUAAAUAUGUUUAACUACUUUGUUAGUUUUUUAUCUUUUAAAAUUUUAUUAAUAUAAUAAUAUAAAAUUAUAAAAAAAAAAACUAUAAAAUUAUAUAUAAACUUGAAUUCUACAUGUCAAUAAUUAGUACACAUGUCAAAAUUUAAAAUUAUAUGUGUCAGAAUAUGGUAACAAAUGUAAAAAAAAAAAUUAUUAGACCAUAUACAUAUUAAAAUUUUUAUUUAUUUAUAUGUAUUAAAAUAUUCAUUUUUUUUAUGUAUAAUGUCCAUUAGAUGUAAUAUUCUAUAAUAAUUAAUUUUUUUGUAUUGAAAUAUUCAUUAUCUAUGAACUUAAUAUUCAUUAUGAUUAAUGUCGUGUUUAUUUUGUUUGAUAUAUUAUUUUUCAAUAUUAGUAUUAAUAUUUAUUAUAUGGUACUACAAUAUUCAUUGUCCGUAUAAUAAUGUUCAUCAAUAUUUUUAAAUAUUGAUUUUUUUAUGAAAAUUUUUAUUGUUUUUGUAAUGCAUGUUGAAAAAAAUUAUGGUUGAUAUAAACAUUUAUCAUUUAUAGGCAUAAUACUUAUUAAUUUGUCAUUGAUGAAAAUCAUACUACUAAUUCAUUAAAAUGAAUAUAUAUAAUAUAAAUCAUCCUAACAUAGUCAGUAAAAAAAAUAUCAAGUUAAAAUUAUAAUAUAAAUAAUUAUACUGUAGUGCACGUAUCUUUUCAAUAGAUUAAAUUGAUUAAUAAUGAAUAUUUUAUAUUUAAAUAGUAAAUAUUUAAUGUAUGUUUAAUAAUUAUAAAUUAAUAAAUAUUAAUUAUUUUUAAAAAAAAUUACGUUAUCAUCUAGUAUGAACGUCAACGUGUCAGGCGCUCACGCGAAUAUUUUUACAAACAAAAUGGCGCUUGAGGCAAUAAAGCUAUAUGUAAAAGGCUCUAUCUUAUAAUUUGAUUAAAAUUGAACUCCCAAUGGGUAGCCAUUAAAAUCGCCUACCACAUAUAGAAAGUAACAACCAUAAUUGAACACUUCACCAAGUGAAUCAAUUUUAAAAGGAAAAUUAAAAAUGUGAAGCAUAAAAGAAAACAAGAGAAAAUUAUUCACUAUACUGCACUAUAUAGACUUACAGUGGUAAUCAAUGAGUUGCUUACCCUUCAAACAAAUCUAAUUUAAAAAUAAAUAUAAAAUGUCCAUGAAGACGCAUACAAAGACAAAUUAGCUGUUAGUAUUCUCAUCCUUUUCAUGGCCACUCUUGCAUUCAUCUCUCAAGUUUUGAGACACUUGCCCAACCUGACUUUAUUAGGUGUAAGAUAUUAGGCCAGAUUAACCAUGCAAAUUCAAGAGUAAGCUAAACAGUUCUCGUCCUUAUGGCCUUCCUCUGCUAUAAAUACCAACCUCUACCACCCCAUUUAUCACAAAUUAUAAACAGCAUUCCCUCCUCUGUAGCUACCACCAAGAUGGUUAAGCCAAUCCUGCUGUGUGCUUCUCUUUGCCUUAUUCUUCUCUUCCAUGGCUCCUCUGCUGGCUCUUCAUUUCAGCAGCAAAACGAGUGCCAACUCAAUAGGCUCAAUGCCUUUGAACCUGAUAACCGUAUUCAGAGCGAAGCUGGUACAAUUGAGUCAUGGAAUCCUAACCACGAUCAGUUCCAGUGCGCUGGUGUGGCUGUAACCAGGCACACUAUUGAACCCAGAGGCCUUCUGUUGCCAGCUUACAGCAAUGCUCCCCAACUCGUCUAUAUAGUCCAAGGUAUGUAGAAAUACGAAGUCUUUCUUUCAAAAGCAGCAAAAGAAGAUUACUUGCGUUUGCAUUUGUUUGAUAAGUGCUUACGAUGAUGGACUUAAAUAUGUAAAUUCAGGUAGGGGUAUGUUCGGGGUAAUGUUUCCUGGAUGCUCUGAAACAUUCCAAGAAUCUCAACAAUCCAGUAGCAGCAGUGGGCAACAAGAGCAGCACCAAAAGAUUCGUCAUUUCCGCCGUGGCGAUAUCAUUGCUUUGCCUGCAGGAGCAGCCCACUGGUGCUACAACGAUGGCAACGAACCCGUUGUUGCUGUCACUGUUUUUGACACUGCCAACAACGCUAACCAGCUUGACAGGAAUCCCAGGGUACGUAAUAAAGAAACAAAAACCUACAUGACUAUAGAUAUUGAUUAAUUAAGGUUGGUUUGGCUAAUACCAAUUUAAAUUUAUUUGCUUCUUUUCUACUUGUUUCACAGAACUUCUAUCUAGCCGGUAAUCCAGAAGAUGAAUUCCAGAAACAAUCCAGACGCCCAGGUGAGCGUGAACAGGGACGAUAUUCCCUUAGCGGUGCCAGCGAGCGACGACGGGGAUCUUGCAACAAUGUGUUCUGUGGAAUGGACUCAAGGCUCAUCGCUGAAGCUUUCAACAUCAACGAGCAAUUGGCUAGAAAGCUUCAAAGCGAGAAUGAUUUCAGAGGCAACAUAGUGUGGGUGGAAGGUGAUCUUCAGGUAACAAGGCCACCAAGGACUCAACAAGAGAGAGAGGAGCAAGAAGCGCGUGAAUAUGAAGAAAGCAGGGGACAUGAAAGAACUUACAAUGGCAUUGAGGAGACCUUCUGCACCAUGAGAAUGAAGGAAAACAUUGCUGAUCCAUCACGCGCUGAUAUCUUCGUCCCUGAAGUUGGUCGUAUGAGCACCGUCAACAGCCAUAACCUCCCUAUUCUCCGGAGCCUCCGACUCAGUGCUUCCCAUGUUGUCCUCCGCAAUGUAAGUUUAAUUAUUUCCUUCUUAAUCCCUUGAUUGCCGAUGGCGCAUCAAAAGACUUAUGCCAUUACUGAUGAUCUGGGUAUGUUAUUGGGCAGAAUGCUGUUAGAAUGCCCCACUGGAACACGAAUGCCCACAGUGUAAUAUACGCCAUAAGGGGUCAAGCACAGAUUCAGGUUGUUGAUGAAAAUGGCAGGAGUGUCUUUGACGGCAAUGUAAGGCAAGGGCAGGUUCUGACAGUACCACAAAACUUCAUGGUAGUUAAAAGGGCAGAGAGUGAUAGAUUCGAGUAUGUUGCCUUCAAAACCAACGAUAACGCCAUGACUUUCGAUGCUGCUGGGCGCACUUCUGCUAUUAGAGCCAUGCCAAUAGAGGUCGUAGCCAACGCAUUUCAGGUGUCGGUGGACGAAGCCAGGAGGAUCAAGUUCGAGAGGCAGGAGUCCACCUUUGGUAGGUCCAGGACUCGCUCAGGGAGGAGAGAUGUUGCUUGAGGAAGCAUUGUAAAAUUAAAAUAAGAGGCACACACUUGGCCGUUUUUUGUUCUCUGAGUGUGCAACUAAAUAUAAGGUCUAGAAAUAAAGGAUACUUUGAUGGUCUCUCAUAUUACGCUUAUGUAAGUAGGAAGAGCUUCUACUUGGCAAUAAACAAAAUCUUCUCUUUUAUCUUUUAUCCUUUUUUUUUUUUUUAUCUGGUCUAUGAAGAAGCAAUAAAGAGAUCGUUUCUUCUUUUUUACCUUUUCUUUCUCUGUCCAUGAAGAAGAGAUGUAAAUGUCAAUUUUGAACAUGCUCGUGCUUGACCUUCCAUAUUCGAUAUGAAGAAGGUUACUAAUCCUCGACAGAACACAUCCAUAUUCGAUAGGGUGUUGUUUAGCAGCGGUGGUCCUUUGCAUUUGGUUGUUGAUUGUAUUUGAAUUAGUGUCUCUGAGAUUAUGAAAAUCCGAUGGUAUGCUAGUUGGCUGCCUAAACUGCUGUAACAGGUUAGUUGGCUGCCUCGCCCUUGACUUGGUUUAAAGUUAAUUCUGAUGGUGAGUCGUUGUCUUCUUCUGGUUUAGCCAUGGCUGGUGGCUAAUUAGGAAUCAUUAGGGGGUUUACAUUUAAUAUUGGUGCUUGUUCUAUAACUAGAGCUGAAAUGUGGGGUAUGCUUAAGGGUAUUCAAUUGGCUCGAGAGUUGAAGUUGAUAGUCAAUGCGCUGUCCAUUUGGUGCAGAAUUCUGCUAGACUGGGUAAUGCGAAUGGUGCUAUUAUAAGAGAAAUUCAUCAGUUUGUUUCUAAUAAAGACUCGGAGGUAAGAAUUGUUUUGCGACUUAGUUCGGCUGCACAUUGCAUUGGGUGGCUAAUAGCUAGUAAUUCAAAGUUGAUAAAAUAAAUAGUUUUAUAAAAUUUUAUUAGUAUAUUAAAUAGUUAUUAAAGAUAUAAUCUAGUUUUACAUAUAUAUUUAAUUUUAUUAUACUAUCUUUAAUAAUAUAAAUUAAAAAAUAAAUUAUAAUAAUUAAAAAUAUUAUGGUUAAUUUUUUAGUUUAAUUGUAUUUGUAUUUAUUAUUAAAAAUAUUUGUAAAAGUUAUUUUUAAAAUAAAAAUUUAAAUUUAAAUUUUAUUAAAAAUUUAAUAAUUUCAAAUACUAUAAUUAUUUAACUAUUAAGAAUAAAUUUAAAAUAAUAAUUAUUUAUUAUAAAAUAUAAAAAUUUAAUUAUAUGAAAUCAACUUAAAGUAAGUUAUUAUUAAUAAAUUUUAAUAAGAAUAAUAGUAUCCAAAUAAAAAAGAAUAAAUCAGUUAUCAACUAAUAAAAAAAAAAUAAUUAGAGCCAGUACAAUCAAUAAUUGAUUGAACUAAAUCAGUUAUUAACUAUUGUUUUUUAAAUUUUUAUUAAAUAUUUUAAUAUAGUUAUUCAGUGAAAAAUAACUAAAUCAACUAUGAGUUGCUCAUUCUUAAGUCAUUACAAAACGCUUUAAUAUAGUUAUUUAGUAAGAAACAAAUAUCGGCUGCACAAAAGAAUUGAACCGAAUAUUCUCUUUAUAUCUAUAGAUAAAAGAACUUUAAAAUGAAUCGAACUCGAGCUUCUACCAUAUUAAAACAAAUAGAACUCCAGCUUGUCAAAAUUCGGCUCUACUCAAUUCCUUACGGUCCUAUUGUGCUGUUUUUAGUGCUCGGUUUAUUUGACUUUAGUUUUCUUUUUUACUUUUUCUUAUUUGUAAUAAUAAUAAAAAAAGAGGCAUGUAGUAAAAAAAAAAAUUAGGAUAAAAGAACAACGCAACUAAAAAAAGGCAGAAACAGAAGAGAUACAAGAUACGAUAAAACAACCAAAAAAAGGCAGAAGUAUAUAGGGCCAAAGAAAGGCAAUAAAAUUCUUCAAUAUGCCAUACACUUUGCUUUGCCUUACACUUCCAAAAGCCUGUCACUAUUCCUAACAAGACACUACAAUAGCAUAUUCUGAUCCAAUAAGAAAGUUAUCAACUUUCUUUUUUCUUCUUUUUUUAUUCUUCUUUUUCAUCGUGUAUAUAUAUAUUUAGAAUUAAUUUAGAGUUCGUCGGAUAAAACUUUUAUCCAUCACAAAAUACUAUCUCAAAAAUAAUAAUACAAUUGCAUACUCAAAAUUCGAAUUUGAAACCUUACUUAAGCUAGGUUAUAUUUUUAUCAUUUCAUUUACGCACUCUUAAAUAUAUAUAUAUAUUUUUUAUUAUUUAGAUGCAAAAGGCAAAAAUUAAUACCAAGCCCAAUGAUACAUGUUUUUUUUUAGAUAGAGAGGUAUUUGUAUUAAGUUCGCCCACACUCCGGCAACACUGUUCUCAUGCAGCCAUACCUAAUUGAAAUGGCAGAUUUAACUGAACAGGAGUUGUUUGUAUUUGGAGCCCAUAUUCUUUUAUCAGAUUGUAUAUUCUUUUAUCAGAUUCUAUAUGUAGAUCAUCAAUUUUGUUAUAUUUUGAUUGAAAUCCUUUAAGAAAUUCAUUUCAUUUAAAAAGAAUAACAUAAAAAAAAAAUUGAAAUAAUAAAAUUGAAAGAACUAUGUUGGUGUUAUGCAAUACACUUAUAAACUAAUAUANNNAACUAAUAUAAAUUUUAUUUAAAAAUUUUAUCUAUUUUGUUAGAAUUUAAUUUAGUUAAAUUCUACACAAAUUUUAUUAUAUAAAAUUCUAAGUUAAUAUUCACUUCAUUUAAAACAUAAAAAAUUUAAAUUUAUAAAUAAAUUAUAAAAUUUUUAUAAAUUACAACCAAACACAAUAAGUGACACUAAAACCAAUUCAGAUCGUGCCAAAUGUCCAUUUCUUUGAUAAGAAUAUUAUUGCCUAAACAAAAAAGGAGCAAAUUUAAUCCAAAUAUUAAUUCAAAAAUUUACCAAAAAAUUAGAUUUGGUGUAUGUUACCACCUAUAUACAAAAUCGAUAAAUGAUUGACAGAUAUUUAUUAGUAUUAAAUAAUAAAGUAUGUGUCAAUUAUCUAAUACUAAAACAUAAAAUACUCAUACAUACGUGUUAUUUUCUUAUUAGUUGUGGUAUAUAUAUAUAUAUAUAUAUAUAAAGCCUAAAUAAAAAAAUUUACAGCAUGGACUAAACUUACGAGAAUUUAAUAUGCUGGACAAAAUUUUGGUUCCAGUUGGGUCUGCAUAAUAUGUAUCCAAAUAGUAGACAUAUUUUGAGUUGAGGAUGAGGAUACCCAAUUAUAUAGUGUUAGACCAUACUUAUCCAAAUAAAUUCUUUUGAUUGGUUUAAAAAUAUGAGUUUUAUUGGAUUAUAUACAUUUGUAAAUUUCUUGGUCCAAUUUUAGUCUAUAUUAUAUUUAUAUAUAUCAGUGACACAUAUUGAUACAAUCCAUCUUUUUAUAUUUAAUAUUUAAUAAAUUAAUAAUUUUAUUCGUUAACAAAUUUUUGAAAAAUUAACUUCAUUCUUCUUUGGAUAAUUAGGAAAAAAUGCUAAUUAUUUAUGUAUUAUUUGCCUUUACAUUAUAUUUGGUUGUAACAAUAAUUUUGUAGAAUUUAUUUCAAAUCCAAAAUUUAUUUGUUUACUAUAUUAACGAGGUAAUAUAUUUCGUGAGAUUAAUAUCAUUUAAUUAUUUCAUAUUUUUGUCUCGUAUUUUUUAUCUAUAUAAUAUUAUUAAUUAUUCAAAAUGUAAUAUUAAUUUCAAUGGAAGUGAAUCAUAUACUUUUCAUUUAACACAAAAAAAAUAUUGUCAAUUCAUUUAUAAAUAAAAUGAAUUCAUCAAUCAAAGGUAAUAUUAGUGUUAUUAUUUUAAUAUUUAUUAUUAGUAGUAAAUUUGAAGUUUUAGAAGUUACCAAUUUUAAUAUCCGGGGAAGUUACCACUUAUAAGAACCUUUAAAAGUUAGUACAUGCAAAAAAAUGGAAGAAAAUUGACACAUAGGCCACCAACAAAAAGAAGUGAAAGGAAAUAAUAUUUUCUAUUAAAGGAAUGUGCAGCAUGAUUUUUACGCUAAUUACUUAUUUUCGAUUGAGAAUUAAUUAAUUAUUUUGUAUUUUCAUAACAACUGUUUCAUUUUAUAUAAUAACUUGUUAAUUUUAAAUUUAUAUAUAUAUAAUUUAUUAAAUUCUUUACAAAAAUACCCCGUUUCGCAAUAGUAAUAUUUUUACCUCCAAAAAGAAGUCUUAUAAAAAUUCCCCUUUUAACUAAAACUCUUUUAUAAAAAUAUGCUUUCUCCGUGAUGUGUUAUAUGUGCAUUUCUUGCAUGGUAUUUUACAUUCAAUAAAAAUACACUUAUUAAAAUAUUAAAAUAAGACACACGAUUAGUGGAUAUAUUUUUAAAAAAAUUUAUAAUGGUUAUUUUAUUUUUAUUUUUAUUUUUAUGACCUAUGUUUUUAUAUGAAUUUAAUUUCUUCUUUUAUUUUUCAGAAAUGCAUAUUUUAUAUUAAUUAAUUAAUUAAUAUAGAUGACUUCCUUAAUAAAUUACUAUAAAUUUAAACUUUACAUCACGACUAUAACACUCUAAAAUCUCAUCAUUUUUAAAAAUUUGAAAUCUGUCCUAUACACUUUAUACUAUAUAGUUAAGUUAUUUGUAGCUCGUGUUGGACAGUUUUUAAGUUAAUGUGAGAGUAAAUACUAACUUGUUCAUAUAUUUUUCCUUAUUUAAAUCAGUACAAACAUCCCAUUUUGCAUAAUUUUACGAGUGUAGUUUAAUUUUAAAUUUUUACAUAAUUAUAAAUAUGAAAUUUUUACAAAAUUAAUAAAAUUUAUACCUCUAAUACACACAAGCUCAAAAAAUCCCUUUCAAGCUAAUAUAUAUAUUCUAAUAAUUUAAAAUUAUUUCAAAAAGUAAAUAUCUCUGAAGACAAAUCAAAUUAACAAAAUAUCAACUAAAAUAAUUUAUUUAUUUUAUUUUUUACAUCAACAAAAUAAAUAAAAAAUAACCAUAAUCAAACACAAAAUAAAGUAAAUCUAAAUACUAAAAAGUAAUUUUUCAAGAAAAAAAAUUAAUUUCUAAUAUUGUGGAUCUUCUUCAACAUAAAAGUAACAUUUUAAGGAACAUAAAACUAUUUUUUCAACAAAAAAAUGAAUUUCUAAUAUUCUAAAUUAUUUUUAACUUGUAAAUAACAAUUCAAGAAGAGAAAUUAAAGAUACUUCUUUAUAUAUUUGAAAUUCAACCAAACAUCAACAAAAUCAUUUAAUUACAUAAAGACUUAAAACAAAUAUAAAAUAUAAAAUUUGACAUAGAAAUUCAUAAUGAAACUGUGUUAUCUCUAAACAACCUUAAUGCUAUUCUAUAUUUUAAAAUACACAAGAAGCUAUUUCUGGUACAUACAACCACAGUUACUUGAAAAUACAGUCUCUUCAUUUUCACCUAUAACUAACAAUAUUUCUUUUCCUAUUGACUAAAAGGACAAAUUUUUUUUACAUCUCAUGAAUUUAUAUUCCUUCGUCGUCAUCAAAAUUACAAUCAGAAUCAAAAAAAGAAAUCCCAACGGCUUUGAAGAUAGUAGGAAUCUCGUAUUCUUCCCCUUUAUAGUACUUCUCUAUCAUCUUCUUUAGCAUUCACAAGUAAAAAGGAUUAAAUAGAGCCAAAUAUAAAUACAUGAUGAUAGUGUCGGCUCAUAUUCAUAUCUAUUUGAGAACGCCAAGACACCAUCACCGCAAGAACAACACAUCAAGAACACCAUUGCAAGAAACAGUUCCACCAAAUUUAUGAUUUUAAUUGGACCCAUUCUCUCUUCCAUAUAUGGUUUUAUAGCAGCAUCCAUGCUUGUACAAGCCAAAGAAAACAAAUAUUUUGCUUUUAACAACAGAAAAAACUAAUUUAAGAAUGGGAUGUGUUGCCUCAAAACUAGAAGAAGAAGAAGAAAUGUACCUAUCUGUAGAGAAAGAAAACCAACUUCACCUUUUCCCAUUGCUUUUCCUUCCUUCUUUUUCUACCUCUAGCUACCGUUCUUGGAUAGCUUGCUUGCGGACGAUCCGCCUUCCCUCCCCCCCCCCCCCCCCCCCCACACCAGCCUUUGACAACACUCAUUGACCGGGGAAGAAGAUUAAGAAGCUUGAAAAUUGGCUCUUCUUGAAAAAACAUAAAAAUGUAAAGAGAAAGAGUAAAAAUGUGAGGAAUUAAAACUGGAGGUAAUUUUGUAAUUAUAUUGAAAAAAAAAAGCAUAUAGGAUCUAAUUCCCUCUAAUUUAUUUUGAAUACUUUGAUUUCAUACAAUUUUAUAAUUUUUAUUCUUUGUGAACUUUAUAGAUUGAUAAUAUUAAUAUUUAAUAAUUUUUUGAUCAAUCAGAUAUAUUAAUUAUAAAAAAAUAUAUAAACCAUUUUAAUAUUAAAAUAAAAAUAUUCACAAACAUAUAUCACUAUUUCAAAAAUUAACAUAUAUAUGUCACUACUGAAAAAUAUCAAUUUAUUAGUUACUCGAGGAAUAGAUGUAAAUCAUGUAAUUAAUUAAAAAAGAAAUUCCAAGAAGAUACAUACAAGUAGCUGCUAGUCGUCUCAUCCUUUCCAUAGCCACUUUUGUAUCCAUCUCUCAAGUUUUGAGACACAUGCCCGACCUGACUUUAUUAUGUGUAAGAUAUUAGCCCAAAUUAACCAUGCAAAUCAAACAGUAAGCUUAACAAGUUCUCGUCCUUACUAUACGCUUUCUCUUCUAUAAAUACCAACCUCUACCACCCCAUUUAUCACAAAUUAUAAACAGCAUUCCCUCCUCUGUAGCUACCACCAAGAUGGUUAAGCCAAUCCUGCUGUGUGCUUCUCUUUGCCUUAUUCUUCUCUUCCAUGGCUCCUCUGCUGGCUCUUCAUUUCAGCAGCAAAACGAGUGCCAACUCAAUAGGCUCAAUGCCUUUGAACCUGAUAACCGUAUUCAGAGCGAAGCUGGUACAAUUGAGUCAUGGAAUCCUAACCACGAUCAGUUCCAGUGCGCUGGUGUGGCUGUAACC
rnacentral:lncRNA from 1 species